GUUACGAACACUUUCUGCUCUUGUAGAGGACCUGAAUUCCGAUCCCAGCACUCACAUGGCAGCUCACAACUAUUCGUGAUUCCAGUUCCAGGGGUCCACCACCCGUCCUCUUCUGGUCUCAGGAGGCACCAGAGACACACAUGAUGUACAUACAUGCAGGCAAAUACUCAUAGUUAAAAAUCAUAAAAGAAGAGAAAAUGGAAGAACGAGACCUUCUGUCAGACCUACAGGACAUCAGUGACAGUGAGAGGAAAACUAGCUCAGCCGAGUCUUCAUCAGCAGAAUCAGGCUCAGGUUCUGAGGAGGAGGA